rnacentral:SRP_RNA from 1 species
CUCCCUUUGAAUCCUCCAGGGUGGGAACGCAGCAAAGGUAUUAGGUUGUAGCAGUGUGAUGUAGAUAGCUUGCCAUUUU